CGCUCACACUCACAGGCAGCCAAAUGAGAGGCAACUAAACCACAGGCAAUUAUCACUUCGCAUCCAACAGCACGAGAGUUGACAAUUAGUUUAUUUAAUAGGUCGAGCUCGGAUCUUUGACGCAUAAAAAUUGACGCGAUUCUGAAAGAUACUUCGUUUUUGGCGAAUUUUUAAAAGUUUUUGACGGGAUUCGAGUCAAAAGCUGAUGUAGACGAUUCUGUUUUGACGGGAAUCGUGUUAUGGUGCGUGAAAGGGUUGAAUAGAACAAAAAAGGUGCGAAUUUAUGAUACGUGAAUGUUGAUGCUUGAUUUGAACAGGUAAUAGGUCUCUGAUUUGAACAGGUAAUAGGUCUCUGAUUUGAACAGGUAAUAGGUCUCUGAUUUGAACAGGUAAUAGGUCUCUGAUUUGAACAGGUAAUAGGUCUCUGAUUUGAACAGGUAAUAGGUCUCUGAUUUGAACAGGUAAUAGGUCUCUGAUUUGAACAGGUAAUAGGUCUCUGAUUUGAACAGGUAAUAGGUCUCUGAUUUGAACAGGUAAUAGGUCUCUGAUUUGAACAGGUAAUAGGUCUCUGAUUUGAACAGGUAAUAGGUCUCUGAUUUGAACAGGUAAUAGGUCUCACUUUUCCUAUACAUCAUUAUAAAGACAAACCAACUGAGUUUAAUGAGGCAAAAAAUAGGUCUUUAUACAAUUCAGGUAAAGCACUGAACACUGAACAUGGUGCUCUCGUUUUCAUAUCAACAGGUAAGAAAUUAUACACCUGCUUUAAAAAUACAAACAAAAACAACUUCCUUCUACACCUGUGAGGUACAACAAACCAGGUAAGGCAAUGAGAUAUGGCUGCUAGACUCAACAGCUGACGGGCUCACUUUCCCUAUUUCCAGGUAACCUCAAACACCUGCCAAGUUACUGAUAUACACAAACUUAUCAUCCUCACACACCUGCGCCUGGUCAGCAAAGAUCACCUGGCUAUCCAACAAGACAUGGAAUAUACACUUUUAUCUAACAUACGGUUUGAUCAGCAACUUCUACUGGAUAUAUAUUUAGCAUCACUGCCUAUAUUAACUUUAAGCUCCCAAUAGUAAUGCAAUAGAAUGAGCAAUGGGUAAUGUAAUCUUCUUUUCCUCUGUUUAUAUCUUUAAUAAACACUAAAAUCCUUAAGAGAACAAAAGUUACGUUCGAUAGUAAUAUAAUUUUGAUGUCCUAUGAGAAAUGGUA